GCGGAUCGUUGACGGGGAGUUUAGGGAGGGGGAGAACAAAUCCUACCCGAGUUAGUUGCUCUGCUAGCCGGCCAUCAAGUGGCUACAUAGAGAAAUUCAGGCGCGCGUGUGCGUGCGGAAUCUAUCUGGGAUGCUGUCUUCCUCGCGCACCCUUCUCUCGCUCGCGCGCUCGGAGCCGUCGCCAGGAGUGGUAGGCUCCAAUGUGACAGCAGCAGCGCUUGCUUUCUAAAGAAAGCUUCGCUCUCACUUUUCAGUCUGUCUCAUUACCGCUCUCAUUGUUUCUUUCGACAGCGAGAAACGGAGCAGUUCACUUGGAGUCUAUUUGGAAUAAGAGAGCUGUUUUCUGACUGGAGAGAAGGAAGAUAAGGCUCCUCUGGAUUUCCUAAGGAAUUUUAUCGGAACGCCUUGUUACCGUGGCUUUUGAAUUCAUCAGCUGGGGUAUAUAAUGUGACCAACUGUUCCACAAUAGGGAAAUUCCGAGGAGUUCAGAUUCUUUCAUUCCUUCUGGUCCGAGGCAGCAUUGGUAUCAAGUGUUCCUAACAGGUAAGAGC